GUGAGUAACACGUGUGGCGAACGGGUGAGUAACACGUGGGCAAACUGCCCUUCACUCUGGGACAAGCCCUGGAAACGGGGUCUAAUACCCGAUAACACUCUGUCCCGCAUGGGACGGGGUUAAAAGCUCCGGCGGUGAAGGAUGAGCCCGCGGCCUAUCAGCUUGUUGGUGGGGUAAUGGCCUACCAAGGCGACGACGGGUAGCCGGCCUGAGAGGGCGACCGGCCACACUGGGACUGAGACACGGCCCAGACUCCUACGGGAGGCAGCAGUGGGGAAUAUUGCACAAUGGGCGUAUGCCUGAUGCAGCGACGCCGCGUGAGGGAUGACGGCCUUCGGGUUGUAAACCUCUUUCAGCAGGGAAGAAGCGAAAGUGACGGUACCUGCAGAAGAAGCGCCGGCUAACUACGUGCCAGCAGCCGCCGUAAUACGUAGGGCGCAAGCGUUGUCCGGAAUUAUUGGGCGUAAAGAGCUCGUAGGCGGCUUGUCACGUCGGAUGUGAAACCCCGGGGCUUAACCCGGGGUCUGCAUUCGAUACGGGCUAGCUAGAGUGUGGUAGGGGAGAUCGGAAUUCCUGGUGUAGCGGUGAAAUGCGCAGAUAUCAGGAGGAACACCGGUGGCGAAGGCGGAUCUCUGGGCCAUUACUGACGCUGAGGAGCGAAAGCGUGGGGAGCGAACAGGAUUAGAUACCCUGGUAGUCCACGCCGUAAACGUUGGGAACUAGGUGUUGCCGACAUUCCACGU
rnacentral:rRNA from 1 species